GCUGCUGCUGCUGCUGCUGCUGCCUGACCAAAACCAGCCAAUCAGAGCCUGGAGGACGUCACCAUGGUGAUGCCUAAUAUAUGGAGAAAAAACAUUUUUUAUAAGACCGGGCAAUUUAUUGAAAGGUUUUGUCAAUGAGGUCAAUUAGAACUAAGCAAAUUAAAAAAUUAGUUUAGACAGUUUAGUUUAGUUUAGUCUUUCAAAUCCCAUUUCUCAACACAAAAGACGGAACAUUAUUUGGGGAAAUAAUGUCCCUUUAAAUGUUGAAAGAAAUAAAAAUCAAUAACUUUUGGAAAAUGUAUUCUUAAUCUAUUUAUCAGUUAAUAAUUUAAUAAUUGGAAUACUAAGAAGUGUGGCUUAGAUGGACACAAAGAACGUAUUGUCCCUCUUUAGAACAGUUUUAUUUAACCUUUUUUAAAAUUAGAACAAAAAACGGUCAACACAGUAAUGCAACGAAGAAUGUAGAGUCCAUCCACACAACAGUCAGGAGUCACUGCUUAACAUCUGUGGAAGAGCCUCAAUGUCACUGAAUUCAUGACAAUUUCAACUUCACACUUUGGAGUUGUAGUUGGCAUUUCAAAAAACUUCAUCAAAUCAAACUUUUAACCAAAGUCAAAGGAAAUUACAGAUACAACAAACACCUUUGUCAUAAGUAUGACAUGGAAAGAUUUCUAGUUUGUGGGAGUUCUGGUUAGCAUGACUAAUGUAAGUUCUUAUAAGCCUGAAUUUUUUUCCCACGAGCUGCACAUCAGAAUGUCCUCACCUGCUUUUUUGACUAAUAUCUUUUCCGCAGGUUACACAUGACAAAGGUCUCUCACUAGUGUGAAUUCGUAAGUGUAUGUUCAAACUAUAUUUGCCCUUGUAACUUUUUCCACAUUUUAAACAUGAGAAAGGCUUCUCAUUUGUGUGAGCAUGUAUGUGGUUUUUCAGAUGAUCUUUUCUUCAGAAAGACUUUUCACAGGCAUUGCAAGAGAAAGGUCUUUCCUCUGAGUGUAUCCUCAAAUGGGAAUUCAAUUGGUUGCUUUCCUUAAAACAUUUUCCAGGAGCAUGUUUUUUUCUUGUAUGAAUUCUCAUGUUGACAUUCAAAUUCCUUUUAUGAGUGAAGUAUUUCCCACAUGUCACAUAGAUGAAAAAUGUCUUGGUUUUAGCAAUUAAACGAGUUCUCGUGUGGCAUUUCACAUGACUUGAUUGACUGAACAAUUUACCACAUGUUAUACAUGAGAAAGGCUUCUUACCUGUGUGAGUUACCAAGUGCCUUCCCAAGCUACAUUUGUGGCCCAAACUCUUCCCACAGGCAGCAUAAAAGGCAGCAUAAAUGGUACGCUGCCACUUUAAGGCCAAUUUCCUUGCAUAGUGACGUCGUCUCCAUCUACUUCCUUCUCGUUUGUUAAAUUGUGCUGGGUAAGCUUGAUUGUUUGUUAGUAGUAGCCAUUAAUACAAUCUGGUCUGAUCUGUUUAGCCUCCUGUGCUGCUCCUCCAACAUCUGGACCGUCUGUCCGUGGUGGAGGAAAAGGUUAAUAACAUCCACCCCAUGUCAACAAAGCCUCAUUUUGUUACAGCUGCUCUGUUUAUCUGGCAGUGCGGUAAUUUGCCAAGCCACAGGCUGAAAGCUGAAGGCUGUGGUCGAUCUUUGGACGCUUUCUUCCCGUCUGCAGUUGCGGCCCGGUGGGAAACGAACCGGCAGAUGGUUGGAUCUACUUCUCUUUCCUCCACACUGACUCAGCUGGACCAGACUGACCUUCUGAUGUUCAUCCAUCUAAUUUACUGCAGCAUUAAUCCACAGCACUUCAAUAACUGAUUAAAUACAGAAAAAAAGUCAUUUUAUCGUUUCACAACAGAUUUGACAUCAUCCAUCAUUUAAACACAAUCUGUUAAAAAACAGAUCAAGCAAAAACAUUUGAGAAUUUAUUACAGUUUUCAUCACAUUAAUAAAAUGAUGUGACUGCAGCAUUAAUCCACACAACAUUCAGUGUUGAUGCAUUUCGAUAAUUAAACACAGAAAAAUUUGUCCUUUUAUUUCACAUCAUGCAUGAUUUCAACUCUAUUGUAAGAAUUUGGUCCUUUAUCAACUACAAACCAUCAAACAUGUCAUUAAUGUUAAUAGAAUAAUUUUUCUGAACACUCUGCU